GCCGGGCAUUGUGGCGGGCGCCUGCAGUCCCAGCUACUUGGGAGGUAGAGGCAGGAGACUCGCUUGAGCCCAGGAGUUGGAGGUUGCUGUGAGCUGAGAUGCCACGGCACUCUGCCCAGAGGGACAGCUUGAGGCUCCUGUCUCAAAAAAAAAAAAAAAAAACCAUUAAUAACUUUACUAGUUAUAAACUUUUUUUUUUUUUUUUUUUUUUUUUUUUGAGACAGAGCCUCAAGCUGUCCCCCUGGGUAGAGUGCCAUGGCAUUACAGCUCACAGCAACCUCCAACUCCUGGGCUCAAGCGAGUCUCCUGCCUCCG
rnacentral:SRP_RNA from 1 species